AGAGAGAAUGGCGUCCUCGGCGACGAGAGUAGAUCUGGACGGGAGCCCGAUAAAGCCGAUGACGAUAUGCAUGAUCGGCGCCGGAGGCUUCAUCGGGUCCCACCUCUGCGAGAAGCUCAUGGCGGAGACGCCGCACAAGGUGUUAGCCCUAGACGUGUACAAUGACAAGAUAAAGCAUCUGCUGGAGCCAUCCGACGGUCAUCCUUGGUCCGAUCGCAUCCAGUUCCACCGCCUCAACAUCAAGCACGACUCCCGCCUUGAAGGCCUCAUCAAGACCUCAGAUCUGGUACCUCAUUCUUCUUCAUUCUUUCUCACUUAGUUACUUGAUUUGGUUUUGAACGGCUCGGAUUCGUUGUCGCAGACUAUCAAUCUCGCCGCGAUCUGCACUCCGGCGGACUACAACACGCGCCCGCUGGACACUAUUUACAGUAACUUCAUCGAUGCCUUGCCUGUGGUACAUUUUUAUUUUUAUUUUUGUGAAAAUUGAGAUUUGAUUGUGAAAUUUAGGAGAUGAUUCAAGUUGAUUUGAGUUUUGUGGAUGAUUUUGAUAGGUGAAGUACUGUUCUGAAAAUAACAAGAGGUUGAUUCACUUUUCCACUUGUGAAGUGUAUGGGAAGACCAUUGGAAGCUUUCUUCCUAAAGAUAGCCCCCUUCGUCAGGUAGCCUCUCCCUUUCUUUAUCUUUUCUUUAUAUGUCGAUUUCAGAUCUCUGAGUUUAUUGACAUUUAAUCUGUGUUAAAAUGUCUCAUUUUUGCGUAAUUCGAACUCUUCGAUUGCAAUAUUCAGUUUCGAGAUCCGUUAUUUGUGUCGGUGGGGUGCCAUUUUACUUUAAGCUUACACUGAAACCUGUAGAUCCAGAGCAUUGUAAAGAAUAAAACUACAUAAAUGUACUGAUAUUUGUCGGAACAGAACUGUGAACUGUACUGACAUGAUAGUAGUAGGGACUUGAGUAAAAAGCAGUUGAGAAUUUGUUGAUUUACUGCACAGGGGAACCACACAUUUUUCUAAGGUUUAUGCUUUUAUUUUAAGAUUGGAAAUUGUGAAUAACUUUAUUGUCCUUGCUCUAUGUUGCGAUAAGAAAAGCAAGUAAACAAAAAUAAAUUUAGGUGCUCUCUGGUUUUCCGAUUCGAGGAUGGCUAUGUUAUUGACAUGCAUUGAAAUUGACAUAUCUUCAGAUUAACGUAAUGCAACUUUGUUAUUAACUGGUCCAAGACAGUGCAUUAUAUAUGGAUGAGACAGACAUCAUGUAAAAAAUAAAAAGGCAAAUGGAGGGAAGAAUAGGUUAUAUACAAAUGCACCAGUUCUAUUUUCAUUGAGUUUUUCAUUACUCGUCUUCAUUUUCAUUUUCAUUUCAUAAAGUAACUAGUUGAAAUGCCAUUGCCAACAACAGCAAGUGCAAGUGAGUGUUUCUUUUACCAGAAAAUCUAACUUCCUCCUUGUCAUUUUUCAUAGGAUCCUGAAUAUUAUCUGCUUAAAGAAAAUGAUUCCCCUUGCAUCUUUGGGUCAAUUGAGAAGCAAAGAUGGUCAUAUGCUUGUGCAAAGCAAUUGAUCGAGAGGCUGAUAUAUGGUUAGUCAUCUCUGUUUUUCUCUUACCUUCUAUUUUUGGUCUCUCUAGCGUGGGUCUGACUUACUUUCUUCUUGUUAACAGCCGAGGGUGCAGAAAAUGGUCUCGAGUUUACCAUUGUCAGACCCUUUAACUGGAUCGGACCUAGGAUGGAUUUCAUUCCUGGUAUUGAUGGCCCAAGUGAGGGUGUUCCAAGAGUUCUAGCAUGC
rnacentral:lncRNA from 1 species